rnacentral:rRNA from 1 species
UACAGAGGGGGCAAGCGUUAUUCGGAAUUAUUGGGCGUAAAGAGCGCGUAGGCGGUGUUUUAAGUGAGAUGUGCAAUCCCCGAGCUUAACUUGGGAACUGCAUCUCAUACUGGAACGCUAGAGUACUGGAGAGGGUGGUAGAAUUCCACGUGUAGCGGUGAAAUGCGUAGAGAUGUGGAGGAAUACCAGUGGCGAAGGCGGCCACCUGGACGGUAACUGACGCUGAGGUGCGAAAGUGUGGGUAGCAAACAGG